AUCCUGAAAUCCAGUGUCCGGCCAGAGGAUCCUUGAAAAUCUGCUGACUUCGGGGCUCUGCACAACAGGAAUGCCACAAUUGCUGCUGGGGAAAAGGAGAGAAGAUAACUUAUUUGUCGACAGUUAUUCAGUGAGCAUCUGAGUUCUGCUCGUGACAUCAGAAUUCCUUUCUGCCUCUCAAAGAUGUCAAUGGAAAGAUUCUUUGGACAACUGCCAUUAAUUAAACCUUGUCAUGUAAAAUUUAAAGGCAAAA